rnacentral:rRNA from 1 species
AGAGUUCAAUCCUGGCUCAAGAUGAACGCUGAUGGCAUGCUUAACACAUGCAAGUUGGACGAGAAGUGGUGUUUCUAGUGGUAGAUGGGUGAGUAACGCGUAAGAACUUGCCCUUGGGAGGGGAACAAUAGCUGGAACGGAUUCUAAUACCCCAUAGGCUGAGGAGCAAAAGGAAGAAUCCACCCGAGGACAGGCUCGCGUCUGAUUAGCUAGUUGGUGAGGCAAUAGCUUACCAAGGAGAUGAUCAGUAGCUGGUCAAAGAGGAUGAUCAGCCACACUGGGACUGAGACACUGCCUAAACUCCUACGGGAGGUAGCAGUGGGGAGCUUUCCACAAUGGGCAAAAGCCUGACAAAGCAAUGCCGCAUAGGGGUAGAAGGCCUACGGGUCGUGAACUUUGUACCAGCUGCCACGGUAAUACAGAGGAUGCAAGCAUUAUCUGGAAUGAUUAGGCGUAAAGCAUCUAUAGGUGGCUUUUUAAGUCCACUGUCAAAUCCCAGGGCUCAACCCUAUAUAGGUGGUGGAAAAUACCAAGCUGGAGUACAGUAGGGGCAGACGAAAUUUUCAAUGGAGUGGUGAAAUGAAUAGAGAUCGAAAAGAACACCAACGAUGAAAGCAAUCUGCUGGGCUGACACUGACACUGAGAGACGAAAGCGAGGGGAGUGAAUGGGAUUGGAUAUCCGAAUAGUCCUAGCCAUAAAUGAUGGAUACUAGGCACUAUACGUAUCGACCCGUGCAGUGCUGUAGCUAACACGUUAAGUAUCCUGCCUUGGGAGUAUGUUUGCAAGAAUGAAACUCAAAAGAAUUGACGAGGGCCCACAUAAGUGAUGGAGCAUGUGGUUUAAUUCGAUGCAAAGCGAAGAACCUUACCAGGGCUUGACAUGGCACGAAUCCUCUUGAAAGAGAGUGGUGCCUUCGGGAAAGUGAGGAUGACGUCAAGUCAUCAUGCCCGUUAUGCCUUGGGUGACACACGUGCUACAAUGGCUUCGACAUCCAGGGGUCGCAGAACGACUGUAGAACCCUAUUCAAUAAAUGGAACGCCUUAGCUGUCCACUUUCAGGUUGGGUAGUAAAGGUUGAAGAAGGGCAAUCACUCAUUCUUAAAACCAGCAUUCUUAAGACUAAAGAGUCGGGUGGAAAAAGGGGGAAAGCUCUUUAUUCCUGGUUCUUUUCUAGCUAGAUCAUUCAGAACCAUAAGUAUCCUUAAUU